rnacentral:rRNA from 1 species
UACGUAGGUGACCAGCGUUGUCCGGAUUUACUGGGCGUAAAGAGCGCGCAGGCGGUCGUUCAAGACGAGUGUGAAAGCCCCCGGCUCAACUGGGGAGGGUCACGCGAUACUGAUCGACUCGAAGGCAGGAGAGGGUAGUGGAAUUCCCGGUGUAGUGGUGAAAUGCGUAGAUAUCGGGAGGAACACCAGUGGCGAAGGCGACUACCUGGCCUGUUCUUGACGCUGAGGCGCGAAAGCUAGGGGAGCAAACGGG